AUUGAACGCUGGCGGCAGGCCUAACACAUGCAAGUCGAACGGUAACAGAAAGCUGCUUGCUGCUGUGCUGACGAGGGGCGGGCGAGUGAGUAAUGUGUGGGAAACUGCCGAAUUGAGGAGGAUAACUACUGGAAACGGUAGCUAAUACCGCGUAGCGUCUCAAGCCCAGAGAGGGUGGGCUUGUGUCCGCUUUCCGUCGUGUGUUCGCAGAUGGGAUGAGCUAUGGGGGGGGGUAACGUCUCACCUAGGCGACGAGGCCUAGCUGGUCUGAGAGUAUGACCAGCCACCCUGGAACGGAGCCACGGUCAAGACUCCUACGGGAGGCAGCAGUGGGGAAUAUUGCACAAUGGGCGGAAGCAUGAUGCAGCCAUGCCGCGUGUAUGAAGACGGCCUUCGGGUUGUAAAGUCCUUUCAGCGGUGAGGAAGCGCGUAAAGUUAAUACCUUUCCUGAUUGACGUUAACCGCAGAAGAAGCACCGGCUAACUACGUG
rnacentral:rRNA from 1 species